rnacentral:rRNA from 1 species
UGCGUAGGUGGUCUUGUAAGUCAGAAGUGAAAGGCUAUGGCUCAACCAUAGUAAGCUUUUGAAACUGCAGGACUUGAGUGCAGGAGAGGAAAGUGGAAUUCCUAGUGUAGCGGUGAAAUGCGUAGAUAUUAGGAGGAACACCAGUGGCGAAGGCGACUUUCUGGACUGUAACUGACACUGAGGCACGAAAGCGUGGGGAGCGAACA